UGCUGGAGGUAUCAGAAGUGCGAAUGCUGACAUAAGUAACGAUAAAGCGGGUGAAAAGCCCGCUCGCCGGAAGACCAAGGGUUCCUGUCCAACGUUAAUCGGGGCAGGGUGAGUCGACCCCUAAGGCGAGGCCGAAAGGCGUAGUCGAUGGGAAACAGGUUAAUAUUCCUGUACUUGGUGUUACUGCGAAGGGGGGACGGAGAAGGCUAUGUUAGCCGGGCGACGGUUGUCCCGGUUUAAGCAUGUAGGCUGGUUGUCCAGGCAAAUCCGGAUAAUCAAGGCUGAGGUGUGAUGACGAGGCACUACGGUGCUGAAGUAACAAAUGCCCUGCUUCCAGGAAAAGCCUCUAAGCAUCAGGUAACAUCAAAUCGUACCCCAAACCGACACAGGUGGUCAGGUAGAGAAUACCAAGGCGCUUGAGAGAACUCGGGUGAAGGAACUAGGCAAAAUGGUGCCGUAACUUCGGGAGAAGGCACGCUGGUGUGUAGGUGAAGUCCCUGCGGAUGGAGCUGAGACCAGUCGAAGAUACCAGCUGGCUGCAACUGUUUAUUAAAAACACAGCACUGUGCAAACACGAAAGUGGACGUAUACGGUGUGACGCCUGCCCGGUGCCGGAAGGUUAAUUGAUGGGGUUAUCCGUAAGGAGAAGCUCUUGAUCGAAGCCCCGGUAAACGGCGGCCGUAACUAUAACGGUCCUAAGGUAGCGAAAUUCCUUGUCGGGUAAGUUCCGACCUGCACGAAUGGCGUAAUGAUGGCCAGGCUGUCUCCACCCGAGACUCAGUGAAAUUGAACUCGCUGUGAAGAUGCAGUGUACCCGCGGCAAGACGGAAAGACCCCGUGAACCUUUACUAUAGCUUGACACUGAACAUUGAGCCUUGAUGUGUAGGAUAGGUGGGAGGCUUUGAAGCGUGGACGCCAGUCUGCGUGGAGCCAACCUUGAAAUACCACCCUUUAAUGUUUGAUGUUCUAACGUUGGCCCCUGACCGGGGUUGCGGACAGUGUCUGGUGGGUAGUUUGACUGGGGCGGUCUCCUCCCAAAGCGUAACGGAGGAGCACGAAGGUUAGCUAAUCCUGGUCGGACAUCAGGAGGUUAGUGCAAUGGCAUAAGCUAGCUUGACUGCGAGCGUGACGGCGCGAGCAGGUGCGAAAGCAGGUCAUAGUGAUCCGGUGGUUCUGAAUGGAAGGGCCAUCGCUCAACGGAUAAAAGGUACUCCGGGGAUAACAGGCUGAUACCGCCCAAGAGUUCAUAUCGACGGCGGUGUUUGGCACCUCGAUGUCGGCUCAUCACAUCCUGGGGCUGAAGUAGGUCCCAAGGGUAUGGCUGUUCGCCAUUUAAAGUGGUACGCGAGCUGGGUUUAGAACGUCGUGAGACAGUUCGGUCCCUAUCUGCCGUGGGCGCUGGAGAAUUGAGGGGGGCUGCUCCUAGUACGAGAGGACCGGAGUGGACGCAUCACUGGUGUUCGGGUUGUCAUGCCAAUGGCACUGCCCGGUAGCUAAAUGCGGAAGAGAUAAGUGCUGAAAGCAUCUAAGCACGAAACUUGCCCCGAGAUGAGUUCUCCC
rnacentral:rRNA from 1 species